rnacentral:misc_RNA from 1 species
AAGGAAUUGAAAAACCAGGCAAUUACUCAUAGAUACUCAUGUUCAGAUGUGAUCAUGGCUGAACUUAAAUGGUGGAUAAUGAGUGUGAUCGCCCACGAGAACACGAAUCGCAACUCUCUGAUCUCGACCCAGGGACCGGUAAAACCUGAAUCUGAAGUCUUUUAGUCCUAGUGAAUUCGCUAAUUUGUUUUUUGUGUAGGUAUGGCGGGAAGUGAGACCGCGAAGGAAAGUCGUAAACGGAAGAGGGAGCUCACCGGAAGUGUUAGAGAUGAAGGAAGCUGUUGUCGCUGCCAAGGCACAGAGAUGGGUUCUGGUGGAAGUGCUAAGCUCUACUAGUCGAACUCAAGAACAGGCAACCUCGG